rnacentral:rRNA from 1 species
AACGCGUAUGCAAUCUACCUUUUACAGAGGGAUAGCCCCAGAAAAUUUGGAUUAAUACCUCAUAGCAUUGCAGGAUGGCAUCAUCCAGCAAUUAAAGUCACAACGGUAAAAGAUGAGCAUGCGUCCCAUUAGCUAGUUGGUAAGGUAACGGCUUACCAAGGCUACGAUGGGUAGGGGUCCUGAGAGGGAGAUCCCCCACACUGGUACUGAGACACGGACCAGACUCCUACGGGAGGCAGCAGUGAGGAAUAUUGGACAAUGGGCGCAAGCCUGAUCCAGCCAUGCCGCGUGCAGGAUGACGGUCCUAUGGAUUGUAAACUGCUUUUAUACGAGAAGAAACACUACUUCGUGAAGUAGCUUGACGGUAUCGUAAGAAUAAGGAUCGGCUAACUCCGUGCCAGCAGCCGCGGUAAUACGGAGGAUCCAAGCGUUAUCCGGAAUCAUUGGGUUUAAAGGGUCCGUAGGCGGUUUAAUAAGUCAGUGGUGAAAGCCCAUCGCUCAACGGUGGAACGGCCAUUGAUACUGUUAAACUUGAAUUAUUAGGAAGUAACUAGAAUAUGUAGUGUAGCGGUGAAAUGCUUAGAGAUUACAUGGAAUACCAAUUGCGAAGGCAGGUUACUACUAAUGGAUUGACGCUGAUGGACGAAAGCGUGGGUAGCGUACAAGUUAGAUACCCUGGUAGUCCACGC